GCCUGCACGAAGUUGGAAUUGCUAGUAAUCGUGGAUCAGCAUGCCACGGUGAAUACGUUCCCGGGUCUUGUACACACCGCCCGUCACACCAUGGGAGCCGGUAAUACCCGAAGUCAGUAGUCUAACCGCAAGGAGGACGCUGCCGAAGGUAGGAUUGGCGACUGGGGUGAAGUCGUAACAAGGUAUC
rnacentral:rRNA from 1 species